AUUGAACGCUGGCGGCAUGCCUUACACAUGCAAGUCGAACGGUAACAGGUCUUCGGAUGCUGACGAGUGGCGAACGGGUGAGUAAUACAUCGGAACGUGCCCAGACGUGGGGGAUAACGAGGCGAAAGCUUUGCUAAUACCGCAUACGAUCUAAGGAUGAAAGCAGGGGACCGCAAGGCCUUGUGCGUUUGGAGCGGCCGAUGGCAGAUUAGGUAGUUGGUGGGAUAAAAGCUUACCAAGCCGACGAUCUGUAGCUGGUCUGAGAGGACGACCAGCCACACUGGGACUGAGACACGGCCCAGACUCCUACGGGAGGCAGCAGUGGGGAAUUUUGGACAAUGGGCGAAAGCCUGAUCCAGCAAUGCCGCGUGGAGGAUGAAGGCCUUCGGGUUGUAAACUGCUUUUGUACGGAACGAAAAGGCUCUGGCUAAUACCUGGGGCACAUGACGGUACCGUAAGAAUAAGCACCGGCUAACUACGUG
rnacentral:rRNA from 1 species